rnacentral:tmRNA from 1 species
GGGGGCGACAUGGUUUCGACGGAGGCAGUUGACGCUUAAAGUUGCAUGCCGGGGUCCUGUCGGCCCGUUAUCCGGUGGGAACAUAAAGUAAUCGCAGACGAUUACACAUACGCCGUAGCCGCGUAAAUAAGGCUAUCGUCUUCCCAGCCUACUCCUGCGGGGCUGGUGCGGACGUCGACUAGCGGGAUAGGGAACGGGCACUGUCUAACCGGCCCAUGACCGAAACCAUAGGCUAGACUGGCCACCCGGAAGCCCUGUCCGUGGGACUAUCCGGGGGCGAGAAAGAAUCACGGACUAAGCAUGUAGUGGCUUGGGCUGAAAGCUUUCGGACCGGGGUUCGAUUCCCCGCGCCUCCACCA